rnacentral:piRNA from 1 species
AUGACCAUCACUGAAUCCUCUUGACAU